rnacentral:rRNA from 1 species
UAGGGAAUCUUCCACAAUGGACGAAAGUCUGAUGGAGCAACGCCGCGUGAGUGAAGAAGGGUUUCGGCUCGUAAAACUCUGUUGUUAAAGAAGAACAUAUCUGAGAGUAACUGUUCGGGUAUUGACGGUAUUUAACCAGAAAGCCACGGCUAACUACGUGCCAA